UACGUAGGUGGCAAGCGAUACUCGGAAUCACUAGGCGUAAAGCGCAGGUAGGCGGUUUGGUAAGUCUUUUGUGAAAGCUCCCGGCUUAACUGGGAGAGGUCAAGGGAAACUACCGGACUAGAGUGUGGUAGGGGAUACUGGAAUUCCUGGUGUAGCGGUGAAAUGCGUAGAUAUCAGGAGGAACACCAAUGGCGAAGGCAGCUCACUGGGACGGUAUUGACGCUGAGACGCGAAAGCGUGGGGAGCAAACAGG
rnacentral:rRNA from 1 species